rnacentral:rRNA from 1 species
GUCUACGGCCAUGCCACCCCGAACAAGCCCGAUCCUGUCUGAUCUCGGAUGCUAAGCAGGGUCGGGCCCGGUUAGUACUUGGAUGGGAGACCACCUAGGAAGACCAGGUGCUGUAGGCG